GGAGUUGUAUUUUAUGAAGAAAGUUUGAUUUGCAUUCAAAAAGAAGGAUAUCUCCUCUACUCCA
rnacentral:tRNA from 1 species